rnacentral:rRNA from 1 species
UGGGGAAUAUUGGACAAUGGGCGCAAGCCUGAUCCAGCCACGCCGCGUGAGUGAUGAAGGCCCUAGGGUUGUAAAGCUCUUUCACCGGUGAAGAUAAUGACGGUAACCGGAGAAGAAGCCCCGGCUAACUUCGUGCCAGCAGCCGCGGUAAUACGAAGGGGGCUAGCGUUGUUCGGAUUUACUGGGCGUAAAGCGCACGUAGGCGGACUAUUAAGUCAGGGGUGAAAUCCCGGGGCUCAACCCCGGAACUGCCUUUGAUACUGGUAGUCUUGAGUUCGAGAGAGGUGAGUGGAAUUCCGAGUGUAGAGGUGAAAUUCGUAGAUAUUCGGAGGAACACCAGUGGCGAAGGCGGCUCACUGGCUCGGUGCUGACGCUGAGGUGCGAAAGCGUGGGGAGCAAACAGG